rnacentral:rRNA from 1 species
GGGUUCUACCGUUGGUCAGGCAAUAGUCUGUACUGGUGUGUGGAAUUUCUACCUUCUGGGGAACUAUCAUGCUAUUAAUUUAGUGUGGUGGGAAACCAGGACCUUUACCUUGAAAAAAUUAGAGUGUUCAAAGCAGGCUUACGUCUGAAUACAUUAGCAUGGAAUAAUAAAAUAGGACGGUGGUCCUGUUUUGUUGGUUUCUGAAUCACCGUAAUGAUUA